CCCCCAUAUAGCAUGAAAGAUCUAUGGAGGCUGGCAUCAAAACAACAUAUAAGGGGAAUUAAAAAAAACAAAAAAAAGUCAUUAAGUUCUCAACUCUCUGAUUUGUGUUCCUCAAGUAGCACGUUCAGAAAGCCUGAUAAAGUAGAUCCAACCUAAC